rnacentral:rRNA from 1 species
CGUGGGUAACCUGCCUUAUAGUGGGGGAGUAGCCUUUCGAAAGGAAGAUUAAUACGCAUAAGAUUGUAGUAUCGCAUGAUAUAGCAAUUAAAGGAGCAAUUCGCUAUAAGAUGGACCCGCGUCGCAUUAGCUAGUUGGUGAGGUAAUGGCUCACCAAGGCGACGAUGCGUAGCCGACCUGAGAGGGUGAUCGGCCACAUUGGGACUGAGACACGGCCCAGACUCCUACGGGAGGGCAGCAUG